rnacentral:lncRNA from 1 species
GAAAACUGAUUGAUUAAUUUUGAUAGUUAAUAUUUUUAAUACAUAUUAACGUCAGUACAAAACUUUCUAAAUAUUGUUUUUAUGAUAAAACUAGCGUAUCUGGUGUUGUUCGGGAAUUUCAUCAUUUGUAGGGGAGAGGAUCUCAAAAUCUUUGAUAGCUACAGAUGGUAUUGCACAUGUAAGCAAAGUUGGGGAAAAGAAAACUUUUUGGCCCCAACGAUUGUCAGUAAUGUCAUAUGUCGGAAAUUUUGUGGCGACAUUGGUUACACUUCAUUGUUACGUCAUAUGUCGAAACUCUUAAUUACGUAACACACUUUCAUGACGCCAUCAAUGCUUCAGGCAUCGAAAUCUUGUGAUGCCACUCAUUGAACGUCAAAUUGUUACACAUGUUGAGACUUCAUCCAUUGUUACAUCAUAAUGACGCCAUAUGCUGGUUGUGCUUGGUGACGUCAUUGUAAUUUCGUCGUGCUGAGUCGUCAUCCAGAUGUUAUUCAUUGCAACGUUGAUAACAGUAAAUGAUUUAAAUAUGUAUUUUAAACUACGACCUCAUUACUCAGGACCGGUUGACUCAAGGUAUCCUAUAUUACUUGGGAUAUCAGCGAAAAGUUUGAAAACUUUGGUCCUGAUAAGUCAAAUCGUGUGGGAACGGAUGCAGAACAAACAUGAAUUUUAUAUAGUGUAUAUAGAUGUAACAGAAUAUAUCAAUGAUGAUAGAAAUAGUAUUAAAAUAUAAAAAUUGGC